GGGGAAAAUAUAAAUUGGAUUUAGGGGCUCAAAAGACUUAGGUUUAAGCAAAUUCAAGGAGCUCAGCUUGAAAUCAAAGUUAUGGCCAGUGUACUCUGGGAGUCUUUAACUAGUGGUGAAAUAGAAGCUAUUGAUAGGCCAAUUUAGCUGGCUAAAAGAUGAGAUUCGAUUAGAGGGUCAAUUGGAUUUUCCUAAUAUGCCC
rnacentral:lncRNA from 1 species